GACAGAGGGUGCAAACGUUGUUCGGAAUUACUGGGCGUAAAGCGCGUGUAGGCGGCUAUGCAAGUCGGAUGUGAAAGCCCUCGGCUCAACCGGGGAAGUGCACCCGAAACUGCAAAGCUAGAGUCUCGGAGAGGAUCGUGGAAUUCUCGGUGUAGAGGUGAAAUUCGUAGAUAUCGAGAGGAACACCGGUGGCGAAGGCGGCGAUCUGGACCACAACUGACGCUGAGGCGCGAAAGCUAGGGGAGCAAACAGG
rnacentral:rRNA from 1 species